UUUGACAGUGGAUUACGAGAACUCUUGCAAGAUGAUUAUCGAAUGGUUGGGAUUGUAUUUGCUCUUACCAUACUACAGAAUGGGAAAUUGCCAACAUUCAUGAAUGCAACUGUUUUGGAGGAAUUAUGGAAUUCAGCUUACCCAUCUUCCUGUAUUAAACAACUUAGAAUAGGACUUGACACCCUUGGAAUAUUUGAGCUUCUGACCCGGCUGCCUUCAUUACAGUUUCUCUUUCAUGCAACUCCUGUAACUCUAACGUUGAAGAGGCUUAUGAUCAUUUUGAAAGCUGUAUUUAGUGAGAAUGGGUCCAACAGACAAACCCUAGAAAAGGAUGUGUAUGCAAUAUUUGUGAAAUAUGUAAGGGAAGUGGCUAGUAAGUAUUUGCAAAUAUAUGACAUACUUUUCAGUUCUAAUGUGCACCAAGUGCUCUCCCCCAACUGUUUUAUGUAUGAAAAGUUAAAGAAAACAAUAAUUUAGCAAAAGGAGCAAUUGCUCACCAUUUAUAAUUAAUCCUUUUUCUAUGCAGUAAUAAUUGUAUGUUAU